AGAAUCAACGCUGGCGGCGUGCCUAACACAUGCAAGUCGAACGAGAAAGUGGAGCAAUCCAUGAGUAAAGUGGCGCACGGGUGAGUAACACGUGACUAACCUACCCUUGAGUGGGGAAUAACCGUAGGGAAACCUGGGCUAAUACCGCAUAAUACCUUCGGGUCAAAGGAGCAAUUCGCUUAAAGGGAGGGGGUCGCGGCCGAUUAGUUAGUUGGCGGGGUAAUGGCCCACCAAGACUGUGAUCGGUAU
rnacentral:rRNA from 1 species